rnacentral:rRNA from 1 species
ACUGCUCAGUAACACGUGGACAACCUACCCUUAGGCCUGGGAUAAACCUGGGAAACUGGGUAUAAUACCGGAUAGGUCUCGGAUGCUGGAAUGCAUCGAGGCUGAAAGCUCCGGCGCCUAAGGAUGGGUCUGCGGCCUAUCAGGGUAGUAGUGGGUGUAAUGUACCUACUAGCCUACGACGGGUACGGGUCGUGAGAGCGAGAGCCCGGAGAUGGAUUCUGAGACACGAAUCCAGGCCCUACGGGGUGCAGCAGGCGCGAAAACUUUACAAUGCUGGAAACAGCGAUAGGGGGACUUUGAGUGCCAGGAUACAAUUCUGGCUGUCGUCGUGCCUAAAAAGCACGGCAUAGCAAGGGCCGGGCAAGACCGGUGCCAGCCGCCGCGGUAACACCGGCGGCUCGAGUGGUAACCGCUAUUAUUGGGUCUAAAGGGUCUGUAGCCGGCUGAAAAAGUCUCUUGGGAAAUCUGGCUGCUCAACAGUCAGGCUUUCAGGAGAUACUCUUCGGCUCGAGACCGGGAGAGGUGAGAGGUACUUCAUGGGUAGGGGUGAAAUCUUGUAAUCCUUGAAGGACCACCAGUGGCGAAGGCGUCUCACCAGAACGGAUCUGACGGCAAGGGACGAAAGCUAGGGGCACGAACCGGAUUAGAUACCCGGGUAGUCCUAGCCGUAAACGAUACUCGCUAGGUGUCGGCCACGGUGCGACCGUGGUCGGUGCCGUAGGGAAGCCGUGAAGCGAGCCACCUGGGAAGUACGGCCGCAAGGCUGAAACUUAAAGGAAUUGGCGGGGGAGCAC